rnacentral:rRNA from 1 species
GACGAACGCUGGCGGCGUGCUUAACACAUGCAAGUCGAACGGAAAGGCCCUGCUUUUGUGGGGUGCUCGAGUGGCGAACGGGUGAGUAACACGUGAGUAACCUGCCCUUGACUUUGGGAUAACUUCAGGAAACUGGGGCUAAUACCGGAUAGGAGCUCCUGCUGCAUGGUGGGGGUUGGAAAGUUUCGGCGGUUGGGGAUGGACUCGCGGCUUAUCAGCUUGUUGGUGGGGUAGUGGCUUACCAAGGCUUUGACGGGUAGCCGGCCUGAGAGGGUGACCGGCCACAUUGGGACUGAGAUACGGCCCAGACUCCUACGGGAGGCAGCAGUGGGGAAUAUUGCACAAUGGGCGGAAGCCUGAUGCAGCAACGCCGCGUGCGGGAUGACGGCCUUCGGGUUGUAAACCGCUGUCGCCUGUGACGAAGCGUGAGUGACGGUAAUGGGUAAAGAAGCACCGGCUAACUACGUG